rnacentral:rRNA from 1 species
AUUGAACGCUGGCGGCAGGCUUAACACAUGCAAGUCGAGCGGGGGAAGGUAGCUUGCUACCGGACCUAGCGGCGGACGGGUGAGUAAUGCUUAGGAAUCUGCCUAUUAGUGGGGGACGACAUCUCGAAAGGGAUGCUAAUACCGCAUACGUCCUACGGGAGAAAGCAGGGGAUCUUCGGACCUUGCGCUAAUAGGUGAGCCUAAGUCGGAUUAGCUAGUUGGUGGGGUAAAGGCCUACCAAGGCGACGAUCUGUAGCGGGUCUGAGAGGAUGAUCCGCCACACUGGGACUGAGGCACGGCCCAGACUCCUACGGGAGGCAGCAGUGGGGAAUAUUGGACAAUGGGGGGAACCCUGAUCCAGCCAUGCCGCGUGUGUGAAGAAGGCCUUAUGGUUGUAAAGCACUUUAAGCGAGGAGGAGGCUACUUUAGUUAAUACCUAGAGAUAGUGGACGUUACUCGCAGAAUAAGCACCGGCUAACUCUGUGCCAGCCGCCGCAGUAA